UUGCUAUGAUGAUAGUUCAGUUUAUUGAUGGUAUUCAUAGAAUGCUUUUGUGAUACUUCGGCAUUCAUGUCGAACCUGAGCGGUUAGCUGAGCAA